GACGUAGGGCGCGAGCGUUGUCCGGAUUUAUUGGGCGUAAAGAGCUCGUAGGCGGCUUGUCGCGUCGAAUGUGAAAUCUCAGGGCUCAACUCUGACAUUGCAUUCGAUACGGGCAGGCUAGAGUUCGGUAGGGGAGACUGGAAUUCCUGGUGUAGCGGUGAAAUGCGCAGAUAUCAGGAGGAACACCGGUGGCGAAGGCGGGUCUCUGGGCCGAUACUGACGCUGAGGAGCGAAAGCGUGGGGAGCGAACAGGAUUAGAUACCCGGGUAGU
rnacentral:rRNA from 1 species